UACAGAGGUCCCGAGCGUUUGUUGCGGAAGUUCAUUGGGCGUAAAGGGGUGCGUUAGGCGGCAUUUCUAAGGUUUGAUGUGAAAUCCUGGGGCUCAACCCUGGAACUGCCUUUGAUACUGGAGGAUCUUGAGUUCGGGAGAGGUGAGUGGAACUGCGAGUGUAGAGGUGAAAUUCGUAGAUAUUCGCAAGAACACCAGUGGCGAAGGCGGCUCACUGGCCCGAUACUGAACGCGUGAGACGCGAAAGCG
rnacentral:rRNA from 1 species